rnacentral:RNase_P_RNA from 1 species
UGCGUGGACAGACGAUCGCCGUCGCGGGGUAACCGGCGGCGGAGGAAAGUCCGAACACCGCAGGACACGGUGGUGGGUAACGCCCACCGGCUCUUGGUCGCGGAGCUAGGGAAAGUGCCACAGAAAACACACCGCCGACCCCCGGAAGUUUUGUGUCGUCGUGUUUCUCGCGGCGCCUCAGCCCAUUGCGGGGAGGUAAGGGUGAAAUGGUGCGGUAAGAGCGCACCGCCCGGCUGGUGACAGCCGGGGCACGGCAAACCCCACCGGGUGCAAGCGCAAGCAGUCCUCCACCGGAAGUUCGCUUUCGGGAACCAUGGUCCGUGGCAUGAGGACGGGUAGCGUGCUCGAGGUCGCCGGCAACGGCGGCCCUAGACGAAUGAUCGCCGCCCCGACGUGUCGGGGAACAGAAUUCGGCUUACGUCCACACACGAC